GAGGAACUUUUGUGUUUCCUUCCCCUUCAGGGACAAACACGAGGAGAGGGUAUUCUGAAAGCCCUUGUUACAUUUUUGGCCAAUAACAAUAUUGACUGGUCAAAUCUGUUAUCUGUGUGCACUGACCGCGCCCCAAACAUGUGAGGGAAGGAGAAGGGACUCAUAGGCCUGACGAAAGAGAGGAUAUUCCCUAAUUAGUUAUGUUUCAUUGUAUCAUUCAUCAGGAAGCACUUGUGGCUAAACUCAAAGACUGACUUACAGAAUGUGAUGCAGCAAGUCGUGCGCGUGGUGAACAUUAUUAUUGCGAGGGCACGGAAUCACCUGCAAUUCCGUGAGUUGCUGGAGGAAACCCAGACAGAAUAAGGCGACUUGAUAUUUCACAAUGAGACAAAUCCGGUCCUGCCCUCAGUGGAAGAGUUGAUCUCUUCUCCAACACAAUCUAUGAUGAGCCUGUCCUGCACUGAAGCCUACAGUAUAUACACACCUCAACUAAAGUCAAGCCUCUGAACACCUCAACUCAUCCUAUCACUGCUGUAAUCCCGUCCCAACACUGACAUACUGUGAGGACAAGCAGAGUUUCCUGCAAGACCGUGAGGAUGAUGGAGAUACGGCAGCAGGAGGACAAUUGCUUCACUUACUACAGAUCCUGGAUGUGCAGAAGGUGGUUGUCUCGCUGGUAUGGAGGGAUUCUGCUGGGUCCAGACCAUUUCAAACACAUCAACAACUCUGCCAGAAACAUCCUGGUCCAGGAGGGAUACACAUCCUCUGCAGUGAUACACACUCUCUCCCUAUUACUAAUGUGUCCAAGUUUGGCACAAGUCCACACUAAAGUAUAUAAGUUCAGUGACUUCAGUCUGAAUGUUGAACAAUGCCUUGAAAGCUGUUUGAGUUUCAUGGGAAAAUGUAAGUUUAAAUAUUUGUUUCUAAUAUCAAGCUUGAUGGGGAAUUGUUUUUGUGUUACUCGUUGUUGGAAGCUUUUGAGAAAAGCAGCAUAUACAAAGACACUAAUCUGAAAGUUGAAUGAAAACUUUCCCCUCUCCGUAUCUGAAACAAAUGCUAUUUAUGGAAAAUUGGGAUGAGACCAGGUCAGAGUGUAUUAGAUGUUCUACUCUGAGAUAAACUGGUUGUUGUUCUGUUUCCCCUCAUUUCUGUGCAAAUGAGGACUUUGAAACAGGUGUCAGGAUUGUCAUCAUUGAUUACGCUCAGGUUUGAAGAUGCUGGCACUCUAUUGUUCCUCUGGUCUGUAGUCAGUACUUUAAAGGUGCAUCAGAAAGAGCUGGGGAAAAUACUCUCAUUGUUUGGUUUUGAUUGAAUUAUCUACUUAAACAAAAAACAGUUCAUUCAGAACAUGUAUUAUUUUUUAUAACAGUUUUUAUAACAAUAACAGUUGGGCAAAUAACCAAUUGAAGAUGGUGUCCAACUUCACACUUUGUAGUCAUUAUUGCUGUUAUUAAUAUGUAAAACCCUUAGCCACGACAAGGACUUGUGUGUCUCUGAAGGAAAUGAUGCAUAACUCCUUCAGAUCCUCCAGAUCACAGUGUGUUUAUCCGCCUUUAUGACUGCUUCUCUGUUAUUGUUUUAGAGUGCAGAAUGAUAAGAACCAUUCAAUCGCAAACCAGAGGUCAUGUACAGUAUUAUGGAGUAGUGGCAGAGUGCCACUUAAUAUCUUACAUAUAAGUAGGGGAGUGGAAGCAUUUACCAUUUACUACACACUAGACCCAAAUCCCAGCCCAAACAAUACUGCCAUGAGAUGAAACAGCAUCCAAUGUCUUCUCCUAUAGCCUAGCGCGAGGACUCGCUCUUUGAAAGGAUGGAGUUGUGUAACGGCCCUGGUUUUACAAACGUGGAUCUCGACUCAGGAGCAUACUUUUGUGGCACAGUUGCUGGCGCGCUGGGCUUCGUGCCAGAACGUGCACACAAAUGGUGUGCAGUGCUUACAGCUAGGGCUGUUACUGUGACCGUCUUGCUGCCACACCGGUGGUCACGAGUUAUGACCGCAGUCAAAUUCCAUGUGAACGUUUAGUCACAUAACUAGGCUUCUCCAAACUCUGAGGCUGCUGAUGGUCAUUAGUAGCCUACCAAACUUGCUAACUGCCUGGUACUCAGCACUUUAUUGUCCCUCUAAUCACUCUGACAUCAAUGCAAAUGUUCUCAAAAAUCAAAUCAAAUACUUAAUGAGAUCCCAUGAGCUCAUGUUGCUCAACAUUUCUAUAGGUUAUGCAAUUGCAUUAGAAAACAAGAGUUUUGAUGGCCUCUAUUAAAAAGAGGAGGAUCCCAUCAGCUUUCUAUAGGCUAGGCCUACUAUAUUUAUUUCUCAACUUUCUUAAUAUGAAGCACAUUGCUUCGCUUUACAACAGGAGUAUAGCCUACCUGGCUGGCAUGAAAAUGAAUCAUGGGAAAAGCGUACUCCAUCCACUAUUUAAGUGCAUAGAUGGCAUGUAUUGUUCUGAGACAGGUGCAUGACUAUUGUCAUUAUAUAUCUAAACUCAUUUUAAACAUACAUUAUAUUAUUUAGCAUUUGUAAAGACAUUAUUACAUCAAGAAUAGUCUGAAGGGUGACAAUAUUAUCCUAUCACUUGUUAAGUGUGGGGUCCAGCUUGUGCAGUAAGACAAGAAACAGUGCAUGGCUUUUUUUGCAUCUUUUUUCACCAUAAAAAAUUGACCUUUAUAAUAAAGCAUUACAUGCAUAGUAGCAUUUGCUGUCACUUUUCAGAACAGUGUUCUCCCGCUAAUUGAUUGCAUUUUGGAACAUUUGCGCUUAAAGCCUACUGCCAUGUGCGCUUUGCCACACUUAUAAUGUGAAGAAAUAGCCAAAUAUUUUAUUCACCAUUUUAAGCUAAACGUUCUGAUGUGUUGCAUAAGCCUCAUUGCUUUUAAAAAAAUGUUUUGAUGCUAGUGGUAGUAUUAAUUUGGGAUCUAUCGCAUCCCACAACUGUCCAGAGUAUGUUUGGAAUAUUUCUUUCUCGCACAGAAUGAAAAGUUGACCAAUAGAAUAGGUCAACUUUUGUACUAUGGGGGAUAGUAGAUUGACGUAGGCUAGUGCUUUUGAUGUUUUUUAGGCCUAAUCAUGUUGUUGCACAAGAAACAAAGCAGAGCUCAUGCCCUUUGUCGUGACUUUACUUUCAUUAAUCUGAAGACUGUUAUUUAUCUAAUCAACUAACUAUGUUUUAAUUGUUACUCGAUUAAAUUAAUCAUGUAACAAUUAACUCAUUGGGAUUUGGAGCACCACGAGAGUGGUUCUUUAAAGAGUUACCAUCUCCCAAAUUCUUUACCUAUCACAUCCAUAAACAGUCAACUUAUUAAUCAUGACCUCAUAUCAUAUCAUAACCCUGCAUCUGCAAAAACCCAAGCCUUACUUAUGAUUCAGUACUACACAAAUUGGUUCAAUUAUUUAUUUACUAGCUGACUAAAUGGUAACACAAGAUGAACAUACAAACUUAGUACAUUAGAAACAGGUCCCUAGCCGACUGACAACAAUACGGCAGCUUGUUACAAAAGACAUGGAGAGAGAGAGGGAGACAUAACGGUGGUACAUUUAGAAACUACUCUCACUUGUUCUUUGCACAUGAACCGACGCCCGCUUGGAGUAAGAAAUCAUGAAUGUAUUUAUGUGAAAAUGCCUUGGGUUUGCUGUGUAUCUCUCCUAACUUGGCCGCCUUGGAAAGUGGGUUGGGCCUUUUCGCGGCACGUGUGUAAGGCUCCGAUUGUCCAAAAGGGGUUUCUCUGUUGUUCUCCUCUGGCAUCGUCCAGUAUCCGAUGACUUGUCGUGUAGUCCUUAACAGAACUACAAGUUAUUUCUCCUUCCAUUCAGUCUGGAAGAUGCUUCUUUUAAAGAUAGGCAAGCCAGUUGUGUCGAUGUUUCCCAGUGGGGUGGUGAGGGUAGCGUACUAUGGUGGUUUAAAAAGAGUAGUAGAAUGUUUCCAAUUCAAUUCGCUUUUCUAGAUACUUUAUCCAUCAUUUCAUACAGUUUGUUCUGAUACGCUCUCUGACCUCACUCAAGGAGGCAGUGACUACUUACUUGUACAAAGUUAUAGAAACAAUUUCCUCUUAUAGUUUCUAAAAUCACAUCCCUCUCUUAACAAAAAAAACUUUCAGAAUUUUUCAUAUAGCAUGCACAACGUAGAGGAUGGAAACAUUGUACAUGUAGUAUGUAUAGUUUUCAAAUGACAGUAUUUCCUUUUAUAAUAUUUUUAAUGACAUCACAAAAUAACACACAAUAUGACAUUAGUUUUCUUUAGACCGCUUUUGACCAUUCCCCACGUUCUAUGUUAGAAAUAUUGUUCCAGUAUUCGCUUUAGAAUGUGCUAGCAUUUCAGCUGUAAAAAGCAUGUGACACAAAGGCACAUUCCUCUGGUAAAUUUGGAGAGGGAGAGCGCUGAAUGUUCUGUCCUUGAUUUACGACAGGGUGUGAGGUGUUAACCCCCACCAGUUCCCUCAUCCCCCUCUGCGGUGGAGAGAGGGUCUGGUUGAAGUUAUUCAUUACAAAGCUGAUCUGACUUAUUUGAACACUCACAGGACAGUCAUGACACUUUCAAAAAAUCAUUAGUCACAUCAUGCAUCCUUAGAAUGUAUUACAAAUCAAAACAUAGAGCCUAACGAUUAUCACAACUAAAGUUGCAUAAAUAACUCUAAAUGAAGCAUAUAGGAGGACCUGUUUCUUUGUUCACCGCUCAAUGGAGCCGCAUGUGUGCAGUCCCUUGGAAAUCGUUUGGAGAAAAUAUCCUUUCUAUUUCAUUCAGCUAUGUUCAAAUUAAUUCAUCAUACUAUAAAAUUAUAUAAAAUAAUACCACAGAAUUGUAAGCACACUUUUUCUGCUAAAUAAACUAGUGUAGCCCACAGCCAUAUCAAAUGCAUUUAUAAAGCCCUUUUUACAUCAGCAGAGAUGAGUCUUCAGUAAAGACUCCCAUAUGGAUAGGCAGACCAUUCCAUAAAAAGGGAGCUCUAUGGGAGAAAGCCCUGUCUCCAGCUGUUUGCUUAAAAAUUCUAAGGACAAUAAGGAGGCCUGCGUCUUGUGACCAUAGCAUAUUUGAAGGUAUGUACGGCAGGACCAUAUCGGAGAGAUAUGUAUGUAUGGAGCAAGUCCAUGUAAUGCUUUGUAGGUUAGCACUAAAACCUUGAAGUCAGCUCUAGCCUUAACAGGAAGCCAGUGUAGAGAGGCUAGCACUGGGGUAAUAUGAUACAAUUUUGGGGUUGUAGUCAAGAUUCUAGCAGCUGUAUUUAUCAGUAACUGAAAUAUAUUUAGUGCUUUAUCCGAGUAGCCAGAGAGUAGAGCAUUGCAGUAGUCUAAUCUAGAAGUGACAAAAGUAUGGAUUAGCUUUUCUGCAUCAUUUUUUAACAAAAAGUGCCAGAUUCUAUGCAAUGUUAGGAAGAUGGAGAAAAGCUGCCCUUGAAAAAUUAUUGAUAUGAUUGUCAAAAGAGCUAUCAGGAUCCAGAGUAACACAGAGGUCCUUCACAGUUUUAUUUGAGACAACUGUACAACCUUCAAGAUUAAUUAAAGAACAGUUUGCAGUUCUCCCAGGGUUAGCUCGAUGAUUGUGGAGGCCAGACGACCUGGCCUCCACAAUUACCCGACCUCAACCCAAUUGACAUGGUUUGGGAUGAGUUGGACCGCAGAGUGAAGGAAAAGCAGCCAACAAGUGCUCAGCAUAUGUGGGAACUUCUUCAAGAGUGUUGGAAAAGCAUUCCAGGUGAAGCUGGUUGAGAGAAUGCCUAGAGUGUGCAAAGCUGUCAUCAAGGCAAAGGGUGGCUACUUUGAAGAAUCUCUAAUAUCAAAUAUAUUUGGAUUAGUUUAACACUUUUUUUGCUUGCUACAUGAUUCCAUAUGUGUUAUUUCAUAGUUUUGAUGUCUUCACUAUUAUUCUACAAUGUAGAAAAUAGUAAAAAUAAAGAAAAACCCUUGAGUAGGUGUGUCCACAUUUCUGACUGAAACUGUAUAUUAGCCCUUUCUGAGACUCAUUUAGAUAAUUCAUUUGAUGAUACAGCAGUAGGAAUGCAAGGAUAUAACACCUAUAGAAGAGACAGGAAUGCUUAUGGAGGAGGUGUUGCUGUAUACUGUAUAUCCAGAGCCAUAUUCCCGUAAUGCUUAGAGAAGAGCUUAUGUCAAGUGUUAUUGAAGUGUUGUGGUUGCAGUUUAACCUGGCACAUCUAAAGCAUUUUCUUUUGGUGAGGUGCAAAAAGUCAGUAUCUAAAUAUGUGUGAAAUGCUCGAUAGUGUAUGUGAUGUAAGCAAAGAGGUCUACUUUCUUGGGGACCUGAAUAUUGACUGGUUUUCAUCAAGCUGUCCGCUCAAGAGGACGCUUCUAACUGUAACCAGUGCCUGUAACCUGGUUCAGGUUAUUAAUCAACCUACCAGGGUGUUUACAAACACUACAGGAACAAGAUCAUCCACAUGUACUGAUCACUAAUACUGUAGAACUUUGUUCUAAAGCUGUAUCCGUAUCCAUUGGAUGCAGUGAUCACAAUAUAGUGGCUAUAUCCAGGAAAGCCAAAGUUCCAAAUAGCUGGGCCUAAAAUAAUGUAUAAGAGAACCUACAAAAGAUUUUGAUGUGACUCUUAUGUGGAUGAUUUUAAAAAUAUUUAUUGGAACAUCCAGACUCUGCACUUGAUGCAUUUAUGAAAUUGCUUCUUCCAAUUAUUGAUAAGCAUGCACCUGUUAAGAAACUGACUGUAAGAACUGUUAAGGCCCCAUGGAUUGAUGAGGAAUUGAACAACUAUGGUUGAAAGAGAUGGCGCAAAAGGAGUAGCUAAUAAAUCUGACUGGCUGACUUACUGCAAAGUGAGAAAUUAUGUGACUGAACUCAACAAAAAUAAGAAACUGUAUUAUGAAGCCAAAAUACUUAUUUUCCACCAUAAUUUGCAAAUAAAUUCAUAAAAUUCCUACAA